UACGGAGGGGCUAGCGUUGUUCGGAAUUACUGGGCGUAAAGCGCACGUAGGCGGCUUUGUAAGUUAGAGGUGAAAGCCCGGGGCUCAACUCCGGAAUUGCCUUUAAGACUGCAUCGCUCGAAUUGUGGAGAGGUAAGUGGAAUUCCGAGUGUAGAGGUGAAAUUCGUAGAUAUUCGGAAGAACACCAGUGGCGAAGGCGGACUUACUGGACACAUAUUGACGCUGAGGUGCGAAAGCGUGGGGAGCAAACAGG
rnacentral:rRNA from 1 species